CAAAAACAUCGCCUCUUGUAAUACUAGCAUAAGAGGUCCAGCCUGCCCGGUGACUAUAAGUUUAACGGCCGCGGUAUUUUGACCGUGCAAAGGUAGCGCAAUCACUUGUCUUUUAAAUGAAGACCUGUAUGAAUGGCACCACGAGGGCUUAACUGUCUCCUUUUUCCCGUCAAUGAAAUUGAUCUCCCCGUGCAGAAGCGGGGAUUAUAACAUAAGACGAGAAGACCCUAUGAAGCUUCAGGCCCUAGAACAGACUAUGUAAAAUACCCCAAAAUAAAAGACGAAACCUAUUAGACCCUGUUCCAAUGCCUUUGGUUGGGGCGACCGCGGGGAAACACACAACCCCCAUGUGGACUGGAAGAACCCCCUUCUACAGCCCAGAGUAACAACUCUAAGUAACAGAACAUCUGACCAAUAAAUGAUCCGGCACAGCCGAUCAACGAACCGAGUUACUCUAGGGAUAACAGCGCAAUCCCCUUCUAGAGCCCAUAUCGACAAGGGGGUUUACGACCUCGAUGUUGGAUCAGGACAUCCUACUGGUGCAGCCGCUAUUAAGGGUUCGUUUGUUCAACGAUUAAAGUCCUACGUGAUCU
rnacentral:rRNA from 1 species